GAAGGCAGCAGGCGCGCAAAUUAUCCACUCCCGGCACGGGGAGAUAGUGACGAAAAAUAACAAUACGGGACUCUUUUGAGACCCCGUAAUUGGAAUGAGUACACUCUAAAUCCUUUAACGAGGACCCAUUGGAGGGCAAGUCUGGUGCCAGCAGCUGCGGUAAUUCCAGCUCCAAUAGCGUAUAUUAAAGUUGUUGCGGUUAAAAAGCUCGUAGUUGGAUCUCAGAUCGAGUCGAAUGGUCCGCCUACCGGUGGUUACUGUUUGUGCUCAUCAUUCCGCCGGUUUCCUUUGAUGAUCUUCACCGGUUGUCUUGGGUGACCGGCAAGUUUACUUUGAAAAAAUUAGGGUGCUCAAAGCGGGCGUGACGCCUGAAUAAUGGUGCAUGGAAUAAUGGAAUAGGACCUCGGUUCUAUUUUGUUGGUUUUCGGAACACGAGGUAAUGAUUAAGAGGGACAGACGGGGGCAUUCGUAUUGCGACGCUAGAGGUGAAAUUCUUGGACCGUCGCAAGACGAACUACUGCGAAAGCAUUUGCCAAGAAUGUUUCCAUUAAUCAAGAACGAAAGUUAGAGGUUCGAAGGCGAUCAGAUACCGCCCUAGUUCUAACCAUAAACGAUGCCAGCCAGCGAUCCGGCUGUGUUCCUCAAAUGACACGCCGGGCAGCUUCCGGGAAGCCAAAGCUUUUGGGUUCC
rnacentral:rRNA from 1 species